GUUACAACACACAUCAAACUCUAAUUUCACCUGCUGUUUAGACCAGAUAUCUGAACAACUAUUUCAAAGUAGAUGUUUAUCUGUGGGAGCUACAAAUUCCACUGAUAGAAAAAGACUUUUGUUUUCUUCAUGAAUCUCAAAAUGAUCAAAGAUGACUGAUGAAGUAAAGGACUGAUUUUCAGUCUCUUGAUGUCUGAAUCUCUUGCAGACUAACAGACAUGUAUAAUACUUAUUUUGCAGCCCUGGGCUCCAUGAACAGCAUAAACCCAGAAAGAACUGAAGAAAAAGUUGAAGAGGGAGGAAACAUCAACCUGACCUGUAGAUAUGAUGGUCCAAUCCAGAACAUCCAGUGGUACAGAGAAAACCAGAGAUCCAGACCAGAGUUCCUGCUCUACAUCACAGAGGGAGGAUCGAUUCAUCCAACAGAUUCUGAUUUCUCAGCUUACAUUAACAAAACGGAGAAACGAGUAAAUCUGGAGAUCUCCUCUGCUGCACUGACUGACUCUGCUGUGUACUACUGUGCUCUGCAGCCCACAGUGACAGGAAACACCACAACUCUGUACAAAAACCUCUGGAGAGAAGACAACACAAUACUCCACAACAUCCACUAGAGGGAGUCACACACUGAUAAACUUCUAUGGUAUGUCAUGAUGAAGGCUUGAUGUUUCUCAAUUCAGAAAUGAAACUAGUUCAACAGAUGAGUCUCCUCCCAAUGACUGCAGAGGUGUUUGAUGACAGAGAACUGUUUGAUUCCAGCUGUGAACAUCAGACCAAACUCUACUCACAAAACUGAAUCAUACUGAACAUUCAGUUACAGCAUCUCACCUCUACAAACA